rnacentral:rRNA from 1 species
CACUUCUAAGGAAGGCAGCAGGCGCGCAAAUUACCCAAUCCUGACUCAGGGAGGUAGUGACAAGAAAUAACAAUAAACCGGCUUAUGCCGGUUUAAUUGGAAUGAGUACAAUUUAAACAUCUUAACGAGGAACAAUUGGAGGGCAAGUCUGGUGCCAGCAGCCGCGGUAAUUCCAGCUCCAAUAGCGUAUACUAAAGUUGUUGCAGUUAAAAAGCUCGUAGUUGGAUUUCUGUGGGGACGGAGCGGCCGGCCGCAACACGCGGUUCGAGCUAGCGCUUUCCCUACAUCCUGCCGCGAACCGUGCUACCAUUAGUUUGGUGGCGCCGGGGAUCGGCUCGAUUACUUUGAGAAAAAUAGAGUGUUCAAAGCAGGCCACACGCCUUGAAUAAGUUAGCAUGGAAUAAUAACUAAGGACUUCGGUUCUAUUUUGUUGGUGUUCGGGACUGAAGUAAUGAUUGAUAGGGACAGUUGGGGCGGUCUGUAUUCCAAAGCGAGAGGUGAAAUUCUUAGACCUUCGGAAGACAAACAGCUGCGAAAGCGUUCCGCAAGGAUGUUCCCUUUGAUCAAGAACGAAAGUUGGGGGAUCGAAGACGAUCAGAUACCGUCGUAGUCUCAACUAUAAACUAUACCAGCUAGGGAUCGGCCAACGUUAUUCUAUACCGACUUGGUCGGCACCUUAUGAGAAAUCAAAGCAUCUGGGUUCCGGGGGGAGUAUGGUCGCAAGGCUGAAACUUAAAGGAAUUGACGGAAGGGCACCACCAGCCGUGGAGCCUGUGGCUUAAUUUGACUCAACACGGGAAAACUUACCAGGUCCAGACAUAGUAAGGAUUGACAGAUUGAUAGCUCUUUCUUGAUUCUGUGGGUGGUGGUGCAUGGCCGUUCUUAGUUGGUGGAGUGAUUUGUCUGGUUAAUUCCGUUAACGAACGAGACCCCAGCCUGCUAAAUAGCGCGUGUGAGCUUUGCUCGCAGCGAGCUUCUUAGAGGGACUAUGAUGCGCGAUAGCACAUGGAAGUUUGGGGCAAUAACAGGUCUGUGAUGCCCUUAGAUGUUCUGGGCCGCACACGGACUACACUGGCGCCUGCAACGAGCAUAUCAGCUGGCCCGAGAGGGUCUUGGCUAAUCUUUUGAACCGGCGCCGUGCUUGGGAUUGACCUUUGCAAUUGUUGGUCAUGCAACGAGGAAUGCCUUGUAAACGCGAGUCAUCAGCUCGCAUUGAAUACGUCCCUGCCCUUUGUACACACCGCCCGUCGCUCCUACCGAUGAAUGUUCCGAUGAAAUUUUCGGAGAGCACCUGUGAACUUGGCUCCGCCUUGCGAACGGGAGGCUCAAAGUCACUUAAAUCUGAACAUUUCG